UACGAAGGGGGCGAGCGUUGUUCGGAUUUACUGGGCGUAAAGGGCGCGCAGGCGGUCUUGAAAGUCAGGCGUGAAAGCCCCGGGCUUAACCUGGGAAUUGCGCUUGAUACUCUGAGACUGGAGUACGGGAGAGGAGAGUGGAAUUCCCAGUGUAGAGGUGAAAUUCGUAGAUAUUGGGAAGAACACCAGUGGCGAAGGCGGCUCUCUGGACCGUAACUGACGCUGAGGCGCGAAAGCGUGGGUAGCAAACAGG
rnacentral:rRNA from 1 species